UCAAUUUCAUGCAAGCAGCUGCCCCAUUGCCCAAAAUACAGCUGGUUCUCUUUUCUCUCACACUUUCUUUCAAGUUAGUUUUACUACAAUUAAUCUUUUCUACAAGCACAAAAAGUGGUUACAAUCUCCUAUAAUUUGUCUACGAGCCAAUUGUGAGCUAUACCGUGAUCUGCCCAAUUCUGGAGCUAAUUGUGAAGAAUACUGUUAACAGAGCUCUGCUAUCUGAUCCCACUCCUACAAAUACCUGUCAUACCUGCAAUGCGAGGGGAUGGGGAAAAACAAGAAAAGUUAAUAAUAUAAAGAGAAGAUUAAAAAAAUAAGCAUAAAGAACAGAUUUACCUCAAUCGGUCAUCCAGACUAAUUAUGGCAAUUGAGUCAUCCCCAUGUAAGAAGUCAUGAGAACCUAUGGUCUUGCCAUACAUUCAGGAUGUGCACAAACUGACGUGGCGCAUCUAACUUGACUUCAUUCAUGUCAAACAAAAACUGCACCUCCCCCAAAUAAUAAACUUCAAAUUUCACCCGACUCUCGGUCAAAUUUAAUUGUGGUCUUCUAACAGGUUGAUUCUAAAGUCUAAUUUGAUUGCACCGCGUAAAAGAUAGUACAUCAGAAGCCUUGAAUGAAGUAUUAAUUACAAGACCGCUACCCCUAACAUAGUCUAACGCAUUCUUGCGCAUGAAUUGUUUGAAAAACUUUUGAGUAUAAACUAUCUUGUACAAAGACGAUGUUCUCCUGAUAUAUGUAUCUAAUGUAUAUAGCACAAUCUUCCCGUAUUUCAGGUAUUCUUCAACUAUAAAAUUAAAUUACAGCAGAAUUUUAGCAUCUGUAUAAGCGUCCCAUAGUUUUAAGCUUUCCCAACAGGUGAAGUCAUAGACACCGGCCCAUUUGUCCUGAAGUAUGUUAGCAUGGGCUGGGAAAUCAAAAACACCAAAAACAAACACGAAUUUAGAAAAAUGAUUAAUAAGGGGUAUUACAGGGGCAAAUUGAACAUACAAACAGCACAAUAGCAUCAGCCUUGAGAGCAAUUGUAACGACAUGCUUUUUUUGUUAUGUGUUUUUAAUUGUUGGUAUAACCUUGUGAGAAUGAUGCUACAAGUUCUGAGAAAAUAAUUCUGUUGAUUCUCCCGAUGUAGCCUUAGACGUUAUUAAACUCCACCCUGAUUUAGCUAUAGAUCGGAAUGCAAAUGGAGAUACAGCACUUUGUGUUUUGGCUAGAAAGCCUUCAGCAUUUUACAGUGGAAGUCAAUUUGGAAUCUAGACGAGUUGCGUAAACUCAUGUUAGUAACCUAAUCUUAAAUCUUAACUGCUGUUUCUUAUUGUCUAUUUGCUUAAUAUGGUGCUGUGAUGUUUCUCCCUGAAGCGUAAAACGCACUCGCCCAUAAGAGCGGGCUUAGGGUAAGAUGUAGUAUAAAAUGCACUCGCCUAGUCUUUUGAUCUCAGAUUAUUUUUGGAAUUUUUUAUUCGCCUACAUUAGCGGUGAGUGACAUGUUAAGCAUGCAACUUUUGGAGUUUAUAUUGAUUUCUUUCAUAAGGUAAUGUGGUUGUUUAAGCUCAUCCGAGCUAUAAUUAGUUUUGUGCAAAUGGGUACACACACAUAAAGGAUCUAAAACGAGGAAUGACUAACAUGCAAGUUAAAAUCCUAGACGUUGCACUAUUUUGAAAGUUUUUCUACAGUUAUUAUGUUUUGACUUCUUUAAGACCAUUGUUCAAACUUAUAGAUUCAUUGAUUGAGUAAUUGAUUGUUGGAGUUAAUUUUUGUUUUUAGUGUUUUGCUUGAGGACUAGUAAAGAUUUUAGUUUGGGGUAUGUGAUGAGUGAUUUUUAUACCUAUUUAUUGAAUAGGUUUGGCCCUGAUAAUUUGUAAAUCUUAAGGUAUUUUAUUUGGUUUUUAUGUGUUUUUAUCUUAUUGUUGUAUGAUGUGGUUUUGUAUUGCUUUUGUGUUUUUUACUUUGUUUUAAAGGAAAGAAUAAGAGCUAUUUGGAUCAAUGUUUGGAGUUGCCAUGUUUGAAUUUUCAGCUUGCCAUUGCCAUGUGAUUUUGUAUUGCUUUUAUGGAUGCAGCCCUUUUCUCAUCUAUCAGAGAUAAUUGACUGUAUCGAUCUUGCAAUCAUUGAUCUUCUAUUUGGGCAUCGAUCAACACCCUUAAUGAUGUCAUUUCUACUUCUAUGGGGAGCACAACUUUUAUGCCAUAGACUACUGAGUAGGGGGUGGCUCCCGUAGAAGUGUGCAUAGUUGUUUUGUAUGCUAGCAACGUGAGGCAAUAAGUCAGGUCAUCCUUUGUGAUUGACAAACAUUUUUCGCAUGAUUUACUUGAUAUUUUUGUUGGCUGCUUCAACAGCCCCGUUCAUCUUGGGACGGUAAAUGACGGAAUUGAGAUGCAUGAUGUUGAAUUUAUUACACAAUUCACUCAUCAUUUGAUUGUUCAAGUUCUUUGCGUUCUUCUGAUACGAUGACUUCUGGUUGCCCGUAUCGACAGAUCACAUUGUAAGAGUCCGCACCAAAACAAUCGGUUUGGAUCGCUUUCUAACAUAUGGAUAUUAGACUAGCCGAAUAAAAUGGCGUCGACACUCUUCUCAAUACAUUUAGAAACAAUUAAUAUGUUCAAUAUUUGCAACAAGAUUCAAAGAAUCAUUCAAGAAUAUAAUCAUGAUUUAAAUCAGGUUUCAGAGUAUAAAUAAUAAUAUUCAUGAAUUUAGAUAUCACUGGAAUCAUUCAAACAAAUAAUUACUCGUAUGAUCAAUAAGAGUACAAGUUUAGGCACUUGCUCAAUAUAUAUUAAGAAACUUGCACAAUAUACAAGGUUGUGUAAAUUUGGGAACUUGCCUGAGUAAUUGACUAUUUCCGACCUUGACUUCUUAUCCUUUGAAUAACUUAUGGUUUCAUAACGAUUAAUCUCUACUUAAUUGGUUUAAUUUACUAACCUCGUAUACUUGGAGCUUACAAAUUAAUCUACUUUUAUUUAACUAGUUAUUCAUCACUCUCUUUAUUCCAUUUAUUAGUCUUCACAUUUAUCUCAUUUACUAGAACUAAAAUAAUCUUUCAUUAUGUUGCUUGUUUAAUUAAUGGUUCACAAUUUUAUUUAUUUAUUCAUAACCCAUUGUACAAACAAAGUAUUCUCACUUUAUUUUGUUAACAUUUAAUUACUAUUUAAGUAAUUUUCUUAAUUACUAUUCACUUUAUUAGUCCACAAAUAAGAUAAUCUAAUUAUCACUUUAUUUGUUUAAUCUAUUAUUAGAAAUAUCUUUAUUAUCGUUUUAUGUAACACAAUAACCUUAAAAUUAUUGUUUAUUCUCCACAAUUAAAAUAAUCUCUAAUAUUACUUUAACUGUUUACACUUUGUUAACUUACAAUUAUCUUUCAAUUUAAAAUGGUCUUUACAAUUAACUUACAAUUAAAAUAAUAUUUAUUAUUAAUAUUUAUUAUUAUUUUAAUUGUUUACAAUUUAUCAAUUCAUAACGUUAUUUAAGUUGUUUAUACUUCACUAUUAAAAUAUUUAUUAUCUUAAUUGUUUAUUAGUCCACAAUUAAAACAAUCAUUAAUAUUAAUUCACAAUUAGAAUAAUUUUAAUUUUCUAACUCGCAAUUAAAAUAGUCUUUAUUAUUUUAAUUGUUCAAUCAUAGUUAAUGUAAUCAUCAAUGUACAAUUAAAAUAUUAUUUUAAUUGUUUAUUAACAACUGACAGUUAAUAUUAAUUAUUAUUUUAUUUAAAAAAUAUGUUCUGACCCGUUUGACCAUGACCCGACCCGGUUUGAUCCGGAUCCAAGUCAACUGCAGAAUUGACCUAGCGCCUAGGUGCUUGAAUUGGCCUGGGUAGAGCACCUAGGCGCUCCCUAGCAAAAAAUGUCCAAUUUGAUUUUUAUCCCCUUUUGAUUCAAUCUUUCAUAACUUGUUCAUUUUACAUCUAAGUGAGUUCAAACCACUACUUCUACUAUUUCAUAAACUCAUAUAUCUUCAAUAUUUGAUCUCUUAAACAAAUUUCCAAAAUGUUUAUCUAGCCAAACUUAUUGAUUUUCCAAGCUAGGGUUCUCAUUUGACAUGUUUUACUAAAUAUUUCACCAUAAGUUCAUUCCAACUCCGUUUUUGAUGAUUCCACUUGGGUUGAGGUCGUAUUUCAUAGAUCUUCAACAUAAGAUUUUUAGAUCAAACAUAUAACUUACACAUUUUGUUUCAUUUAACACCAAGUAGUAUUCUAUUCUAGGUUUCAUGCUUACAUGCUUUUUAUUUGAUCAUUUAGACAUGAAGACACCUAUAUGACAUACAAGUCACAUAAUCUCCUUCCAAUACACAUCCUUAUUGUAGACACUCUAAAUUUUCUGCACUCCUAUUACUGACAUUGUAGGAGGGUAGAUUCGUCUUUCGGAGAUAACCUUGUAAAACAGCUUGCAUCCAUUUCGGAUACUACCGGAAGUUCAGUUCCAACCCGGAACACAAACCGGGAACAUCAUCUCGACCCGGAACACACACCGGGAAUGUCAUUUCCAAACUCGGAGAUAACCCCGAGAUAUGCAGCUCAAAAGACUGGCAACAACACCGGAGAGGACAUUUCUGUCUCGGCGAUAACACCGCGACGCUCAGUUCCAAUCCCAGAGACAACACUGGGAGUAGCAACCCCAUCCUUGGUGAUAGCCCCAAGGGAUGCCAUUGCAGUUCCCGUGAUAACCCCGAAAAUGCUUGUUUCAAACACAUGCAAUCAGCUUCAACACCAAACAUCCUGUCGAGGCACACAUACCUCAGUCCCAGAACUAACAACGGGCAGACAGGAACACCUACAGAUGACAGUGAGACAUACAAACAAGCAGCAGUCCAAUCUCGGAUAUAACCCUGAGCAACAUCUGCUUUCCGCUUAAACCGGCGAUAACCCCGGUGAGGAGUCAACACGUCAUCUUACUGUCUCAACAAGAUAAUAUUGCAGCAUACCAACAAGUGGUCCAAUCUCAACUGUAACCCUGAGCAACGUCUACUUUCAACUCAAACUGGCGAUAACCCCGACAAGGAGUCAAACAUCAUCUUGUUCCUUCGACAAUGGCACGUCGUCCCAACACUUCAUACAUACAUCCAACAAUGUCCCACAAGAACCGAGGAUUGACAAUCCCGAGUGACUAUUACGUGUGACAGUACUUUGGAUAGAAUUUGAAGCUUGAAGACCAUGGGCAUAGACCCUUCUUCCUGACUUCGUACAACCUCUAAUCCAUGUCAUUGCGUAACUCUCGACACAAGCGGUCCGAAGAAGGUCAGAUAUCCCUCAUUCGGAUGCUCGAAUUGAAGUUCUGCAAGUUCGAGCGGACAUUACAGUACAUGAGUGCCGUUCUACCCGCGAGGCUCGGAUGCACNNNNNNNNNNNNNNNNNNNNNNNNNNNNNNNNNNNNNNNNNNNNNNNNNNNNNNNNNNNNNNNNNNNNNNNNNNNNNNNNNNNNNNNNNNNNNNNNNNNNUAAGCCUUCUCCCAUUUUAUAAAGCCUUCUUCUCAUAUUAGCACACACUGUUGUACACGUUGAGAGUCGUGUGAGUGUGUUUGCCCGGACUUCAGUCCGUGGUUUUCAUUUCUGUCUGUAUAUAUAUACUUAUAUAUAUGUACAUAUUUUAUAUAUGGACUAACAUUAUCGAGUUAUGCCUCGAUUGAGCCUAGACUUCGGUCUGGAGCGUUUAUUUGCUUUUGUAUAUAUAUAUAUAUAUAUACUUAUAUAUAUAUAUAUGUACUUAUAUAUAUAAUUGUUGUCGGACAUAUCUGAUGAGCCUGGAUUCACAUCCGGUGCGUUUACUGCUUUUAUAUAUAUAUAUUUGUAUAUAUAUAUAUAUAUAUAUUUACAUUUCUGUCAGGCCUGGAGUUUACUUCGUGGCCUUUUACAGCUUUCUUUACAUUUCGUCCCGCCUGGAGUUUACUUCGUGGCGGUUGAUCGCUUUUACAGCUUUCUUUACAUUUCGUCCUGCCUGUAGUUUACUUCGUGGCAGUUGAUUGCAUUUAUUGCUUUAUUUACUUUUCUGAUCCCCCAUGGAGUUGCUUCGUGGUGGUUGAUCAAGUCUGUAUAUAUAUAUUUACAGCUUAUAUAUAUAUAUAUAACUGUUUAUUGCUUUCCAUACAAAUUGCAGUAUCAUGUGAGCCUAGGAAUCAUGUGAUCACAGAUUCAGUCUACUGAAUCUAGAUUCGGUUCCCAUGAUGGACAUUUUUCAGCUGUAAGCAGCCUGUACAUUAUUUUACAGUGUGUGAAUUUCCUUGGAUGGCUGUCAUGCCCAUAAGGAAUUCGGCACUGCUAUAUAUUAUUUUCUCGAGAAUGCUUCGCAUCUCGAAAAUAAAAGCAAACAAGCCGAACAUUUACUAAUAAAAUGGAAGUAUCAAAAGCCUCAAUUACUGUUGAGCACAGGGUUUGAAAAACCUCUUUCAUAAAACUUCAUUGCUAUAUCUUGCUUAAAACUGAAUUUUUCUAUAAAUUCAAACCCUGUGUAUAUAGGUGCGAACGAGGUACAACACUACUUUCAAAUAAAUUGCACAUUGAUCCACACACACACAUUCAUAUAAUAAUUUCUCUGAAGAGUGGCGGUCACCGUGGUAACACGGAUGUCGGGGGGUGCCUAACACCUUCCCUCCGCAUAAUCAAGCCCCCGAACCCAAAAUGAAUCUCGGUUUCACAGACCCGUCUAGCAGUGCCAAAUCACUGGGUCAAUGUGCAAACCUUUUUCGAUUGCAUUGGUGCAACCAGUUAAAUACACCAACUGGCGACUCUUAAAGUCAAAUCGUCGACAUUAUACAUGUCAGACUUUUUUCACUUGUUUUUUCAAACAAAUCUCACAUUAACAUGAGAACACCAAAAAACAAGUAACGAAAAGGGACACUCAAAAAUCCCGACGUCGACAGGUGGCGACUCUGUUGGGGACUCCAGUAAGAGAGCUUAAGCCGUUAUUACAAACUUUUCAAAAUUAUUAUAUGCUUGUGUGUGAAUGUUGCAUUUGCAUUUAUGAUAAAUGUGUACGAAUGCAUCUUAAUUACUGCAAUGCUAAAUAUCCAUUUGUGAUAUUAGUGUUUCGCACAUGUCAUCAAUUUGCAUAAACGAUGAGACACGUUGUAUGUGAAUGUAUGUUGUGUGGUCCCUCCAUCAGGAGGCUAUCCUGUCGGUGUUUGAUUACUGGACUUGUGGGAAGAAUGAUUCCCCGGGGCUCAGGAAAAGCACCACUCAGAUUCGCUCCAGUUGAAAGACCGGAUUAACUUCCCGUCGAGUAGAUUGCGAUGAUCUGGGAACCUUCAUGCCGAAAAGCCGCGAGAGUAACCCUAAGAUAGGUCAGCCUCUGAUAAACCAAACGCGGAUGAAAGUCUCUUCAUACUUUCCAUCUUUCAAUUACUUAUAAAAGCAUUUACUUGAAAUUUAUUCCAUGUUCAUCCAUCUGUAAUGGAAAAUAUGGAGAAUAUCUGUGCAUGCAUGACAUGUUAUCAAUUAACAACCGGUUUUGCAGGACAAAAUUCCUAAACGGACAUGUUAUGAUAACAUUUGCAUUACCCCAAGACUAAACUACGUAAGUCUUUUGUAGGGAAGCAAUUGGGCCUGUUACCCGCUCAAAAUCAAAAAAGGCUGCGAGCCUACAGCCAAUCAUGUCUUCUUCUGACCAGUUUAAUGCUGUUUCCCAAGAAGAAUUUGACGGAUUAAGUAAACAAAUUACAGACUUGGCUGUUCUACUGAAAGAAUUACACCAGUCUACUCAGGGGACGAAGAUACCUACACAUAUAGAAUCCUCUACACAAGGAGGAGUUCAAGGUCUGGAAAAAACAAAUCCAGAACUUCAGUUGGAUACAACCAACAAAGACCCUGAAAACACCCAUCUCAAAGGAGAUCCAGAUAACGGUGAUAUCAGGAAGGUCCUUCAAAUGGAGGAAACUAUUUGUGUUCUCAAAGGGAUUGGAACUCAUGACAGUGUUUCAUAUACAGACCUUUGCAUAUUCCCUGAUGUUCAUUAUCCAGAGAAAUUCAAGACCCCUAAUUUUGAGAAAUAUGACGAAUUAGGGGAUCCUUAUACACAUUUAAAAGUGUUCAUUGGAGAACUUGGGUCUUAUGCGGAAAAUGAAAAGCUCAGAAUGCAGCUGUUUUAGAAAAGUCUGACUGGAGAAGCCCGUUCAUGGUAUACCAGAUUAGACAACUCUAAGAUCCAUAGCUGGGAAGAUCUGGCUCACGCCUUCCUCACUCAAUACAGUUUUCAAUCUCAGAUGGCUCCUGACCGGUAUCAAAUUACCAAGGUCAAGAAACAGUCAAAUGAAUCCUUUAGAGAGUACGCUCAAAGGUGGAGGCGCUUUGCUGCUCAAGUUAUUCCUUCCAUGACGAAAUCAGAAAUGGUCAUGACUUUCAUAGAUAUACAGGAAGCUCCUUUCUAUGAAAGAGUUCUAGCUGGUAUUGGCAAACCAUUCUCUGAAAUGAUCAAGCACGGAGAAAUGGCUGAAAUGGGAUUGAAGUCCGGUAAAAUUCAAGACCUAUCCGCUCUUAAAGUUGUUGCUGAGCACAUGCAGUUCAGAUCUUAUGGCAACAACCCUCGGAGGGUCCAUAAGAAGAAAGAGGAGGAUGUUUCCUUGAUACUACAAGGACAAAAAGGCAAUCCAAGCAUGCCUAUGCAGAGGAGAAAUUACUCCCCUUUUCAAUCACAAUCUUCAAACACUCCAUUGCCUAAAAGUGGAGAAGUAAAGCGACCUCGGACGUUCACACCCUUAGGGGACUCGCUCGAGAAUAUUCUUGCUCUUCUGACUGCUCAGAAGAAAAUUACACAUCUUCUUCCACCAGCGAACCCUAAUGGGAAGGGUUUUAAUGCUACUCGAAAGUGUGCUUAUCAUGCCGGAGCACUUGGACAUGAUACUCAAGAUUGUUGGGCCUUGAAGCAUAAGAUUCAAGACUUAAUAGACAAUGGUAAGAUCGUGAUCACCAAACCAGAUCAACCUCAUGUGCAAGACAACCCUCUCCCUCAACACAAAGAGGAAGAGGUCAACAUGACUGGACAUGGUUCCAAUUCUACUGGUGAAUCAUCCCAACCCCUCAGAGACAGUAUUGACAAGUGAGAUUAUGCAAAGUUCUAGUUUACCAUGGAACGAAAGAUGAAAGCUCUUUGCAAACAAAUUGAGCAAUUGGCAGAACUAGUGCCCCACCGUCAUCAAGUCACACGCCAAUUCAUUUGUUAUGAAUGCUCCAUCAACACCUUCAGAAAGCGAAGCUAUGGAGGAUAAGGUUGCAAAGCGAGCAAGUGCUAAAGCUCGUUGGGAUUUUGCCAAUUAAAGGGAAUUCACAUAUUUGGGCCAAUCUAUGGAGGAUAUACUUCAAAUGUUGAUCAACGAAGGAAGAAUUACAUUCCUUCUCCCUCCAAUCAAUCCCCGUUCAGGACGGUUCAAUCUUGAUGAAAUGUGUCAAUAUCAUUCACAUUCUCGCGGUCACAGCACAGAAGAAUGUUGGGCACUCCGCCAUCUCAUUCAGAAUCUUAUUGAUAGCGGUGUCCUGCAAAUAGCAGAUGACUACACUGUGAAACUCAAAGGUGGGAAUGCAUGUCCUACCAAAUGAAAGGGAUCAGUAGCAGUUAUAUCCGAAGUGGAUGAUGAAACUGUCAAAGUAUUUCCCAUACAACCAAUUCAACUCAAAAGAGCUGACAAUCCUUUGAAAGUGGCCACACCAGAGCCAAUUUCUUUAUCUUGCAGACCACAAUAUCCUGUUGUCAGCUUACACAACGUUCCAUGGAAUUAUGGAGAAGCUUGAAGGAUCCACGUCUCAUACUACUGCUGCAGUGUCGAAGGAAAAUCCACUAUACCUUCCUCAAUGGGUUAUCAAGACUACUUGCGAAGCAAAGGGGAAGCUGCCCAUGGAGAAGAUUGAAAAAUUCCUCCGUACUAUGGGCCACAAUGAAGCCAAAGUGGUUUUAAGCUUGCGAGAAGCUCCACACCAGAUAUCUAUACUGGACUUGAUUUUCUUUUCCGAGGAUCAUCGGAAGAUCUUGUUGAAGGUUUUAGAAGAAGCCUACUUGCCAAAAUCAGUGAAUGUGGAAAAAUUUCAACAUUUGGUUGAUCACAUUUUCAACAACAAUGUGAUAUCCUUCACUGAUGACGACAUACCUCCCGAAAGGACCGGUCAUUGCAAGCCAUUGCACAUUACAGUUUUGUGUUCCGGGUAUAUGCUAGCUGGAGUAUUGAUAGAUGGAGGCUCAUAUCUAAAUAUAUGUCCUUAUGCCACCUUGGUGAAGAUGAACGUCAAUCUCAAGCGGAUCCAAAGCAGCCAUACGGUUAUCAGAGCUUUUGAUGGAUCCCGACGAAACUCCGUCGGAAAGAUUGAGUUGCCAAUAGAAAUUGGUCCAAAUACAUUCAAUGUAUCCUUCCACGUCCUCAAGAUAGACUUAGGAUACAACCUGCUAUUGGGGAGACCAUGGAUACACAUGGCUGGAGCCGUUCCUUCCACGUUCCAUCAACUACUCAAAUACAUUAUCAAUAACAGUCUAGUCACUAUCAACGCUGAGCCGGAAUGUCCUGAACAAGGAACUCUACCAAUUAUCAGCUUCAAUUCAGAAGUUGAAACGACCAGUUUCCAUACUCUGGAAGUGAGUAACACGCAAUACCAUUCUAUUGGAGCGCCACUUCUCGUACCCAAGAUUUCUGCCGAGGUUAUGUCGGCCACUCAAGAAAUGAUGUUAUUAGGUCAUUAACCUGGACAAGGGCUUGGUAAAGAUAAGCAGGGUAUUAAGCACCCUAUUCAAAUGUUCAGUCAAAUUGGAACGGCCGGACUAGGCUAUUCUGCCAAUUCCACUCACAGGAAUCCUCAUAAGCACAAGCAAGUUCCUCAAGCUUCCGCCGCACGGCGAUUUUCUAUACCUUUACCUCAUGAGUUAAUGCAAUCUCCAGUAAAGGUGCCAGCCAAUGUUGUGGCUAUGCUGUUUCCGAAACCAGUGCCAAUCAAAGCAAAAGAGGUGCUGAUUCCUGAUCCCGAAGUGGGAAGGAAGGAGCGGAAACGUAAACAUGACCUUGCCUUGAUGAUGGCAGGCAUACGCGUCAUUGUUCAUGAUGAACAUACAAACAGAUACACCCCAGACGAUAAUUGCCCAGAUGUCAUGGUUAUCAUUCGAGAGAAGGAAGACACUGCCGAUCCUUCCAUUACUGCAGUCCACCAGGACUUUGCCCUCGACAAUUGGAGCAGCACUCCAUGUAUUGGUCGACGAGGGUAAAAUGGGCAGAAAAAUCCCUCUGCCCUGUAGAUAACUUUAAUUGCUUGCUUUCCUUUACAGUACUAGCAGUUAUUUUAUCAAGUACAUGCUAACACUUUUGUAUGAUCGCACAGUUGCAUAUAUUAAGUGAAAACAUAUCUUGUUUCAGGACUCUGAAUUUAGAUGUGCCUAUACUUGCUGAUGAGGUGCCUUCUCUCCACACGGGCUGUAACUUUGAUGCAAAGUUGGACUCAGACUUGAUGGACAUUCAAGAGGACAUUGAGACACCUCAAGAGAUUAAGGAAUGGGUCGCAGACAAACCCAAACCCAAUCUCGAUCAAACCACUCCUUUCAAUCUUGGAACCUUAGACAACCCUAAGAUAAUCCAGAUUGGUUCAGACCUCACCACAAAUCAACGGAAUGACAUGGUUGUACUGUUAACCCAAUUCCAGGAUGUGUUUGCAUGGUCUCGUGAAGACAUGGUGGGUUUGUCCACUGACAUUGUUCUUCAUCGCCUUCCCAUUAAAGAAGGAUUCAAGCCAGUCAGGCAAAAGCUCAGGCGAUUGAAACCUGAGUGGAGUUUAAAGGUCAAAGAAGAAAUUGUGAAACAAUUUCUUCACAAUUUCAAGCUGGCAUCAUCAUGGUGUCUACAUAUCCGGAGUGGAUAUCCAACAUUGUUCCCGUGCCUAAACCAGGGGGAAAUGUGCGAGUCUGCGUGGAUUAUCGGGAUUUGAACAAAGCUUGCCUUAAAGAUAGCUUUCACGUGCCAUUUAUCCACAUUCUUUUCGACAAUACUACUCAAUACGGCAUGUACUCCUUUGCUGAUUGCUUUGCCUUGAGAAACCUUUUGCUACAGACGGUUGUCAUUCGGCCUCAUCAAUGCCGGGGCAACCUACCAGCAAGCUAUGAUGGCUCUUUUCCACGAUUUAAUGCACAAAGAGAUAGAGAUCUACGUGGAUGACAUCAUUGUCAAAUCCCGAAAGGAGGAUGACCACUUAGACCAUCUCAAAAAGCUUUUCAACAAGUUGCGUAAGUACAACUUGAAGUUGAAUCCCGCCAAGUGCGCCUUUGGUGUUAAAUCAGAUAAGUUGUUAGGUUUCCUAGUCAGCCACAAAGGAAUUGAAUUGGAUCCUACCAAAAUCCAGGCUAUCAAGGAAAUGCCCAUUCCUCAGACAAAGAAGGAAAUACGGGAAUUUUUGGGAAGAAUCAACUUCAUUAGCAGAUUCAUUUCUCAACUCACAGCAACCUGUGAGCCUAUCUUCAAGUUGUUAAGGAAGAACUCCAUAAAAUGGAAUGAUGAGUGUCAAAAAGCCUUCCUUACCAUUAAAGAGCAGCUGAUUAACGCUCCUGUUUUGGUACCUCCCAGGGAUCAUGUUCCCCUGUCCAUAAAUGACAAUGCUAUGGGCUGUAUGCUGGGGCAAAAAGACGAUAGAGGCUAAGAACGAGCUAUCUAUUACCUCACAAAAGAUUCAGCAUCAGUGAACACAAGUACAUUCUGAUUAAGAAGACUUGUUGUGCUUUAGCAUGGGCUUCCAUGAGGUUACAACAUUACCUCCAUGGUCACACAACCCAUCUCAUAUCCCGAAUGGAUCCUCUCAAGUAUGUGUUUAGCAAGCCCAUACUGAAUUGUCGACUGUCCAGAUGGCAGUUGAUCCUACAGCAAUUUGACAUCGUCUAUGUGAUGCAAAAGUCUGUCAAAGGUCAAGGAAUUGCGAAUCAACUGGCCGCCGCACCUGUAGGGGACUACAAACCCUUAAAAACAUACUUCCCCGAUGAGGGAGUAAUGACAAUUCAACUACAACAUCAGCACGAUACAUGCCGUACGUGGAGAAUGUAUUUUGAUGGAGCUGUUAAUUCAGAAGGCUCCGGAGCUGGAGCAGUUCUAAUAUCUGCAACGGGGGAGCAGUAUCCCAUCGCCGUCAAAUUGCAGUUUAUCAGCACCAAGAACACAGCUGAGUAUGAAGGCUGUAUCAUGGGGCUAAAACUUGCCUGUUCAAUGGGCAUCAGGCGGUUAACUGUCUUUGGGGAUUCCGAAUUGGUAAUCAGACAAUCCACAGGAAUCUAUCAAACCAAAGAAUUACAUUUGCUGCCUUACCAUCGGCAAGUUUUACAGAUGGCUUUGGAGUUCGAAGAAAUCUCCUUUCUACACGUUCCUCGUAAUAGAAAUGAUUUUGCAGAUGCAAUAGCAACGUUGGCCUCCUUGGUUUACAUACCUGACAAGGAAAGCAUGCCAAUCAUGACGUUUGCUUUGAAAAAAGCCCCAGUCUAUGGGAAUUUUAUUGCAAAAGUAUCGGAUGAGCUACCUCCCAUCCACAACCCUUGGUAUCAACACAUUAAGGAGUAUCUACGAGAUGGAUCUACACCCGCUGAGGCGAGCCUAACUGAGAAGAGGCGGAUUCAUCGACUUGCUAUGACAUUCUACCUGAGCGGAGAUGCACUCUACAAAAGAGAUGCAGGAUUAGGUCUCCUCAGAUGUCUGCAUAAAGACCAAGCUCAGAAACUCCAUGGUGAAGUAUGUGACCCUCACAUGAGCGGACCCCUACUUGUCAAGAAAAUUCUCAGAACGGGGCAUUAUUGGCUUACACUCAAAGCUGACUGUGAUGAUCACGUCAAGAGGUGCUAUCAAUGUCAGAUUCAUGGAAAUUCCAUCCACGCCCCUCCAAGGGAACUCCACAAUAUGAGUUCGCCAUGACCCUUCUCAAUGUGGGGAAUGGACGUGAUCGGGCCCAUCGAGCCCAAAGCCAGCAAUGGACAUCGAUUCAUAUUCACCAUGAUCGACUACUUCACCAAAUGGGUAGAAGCAACAUCCUUCCCCAGGGUUACUAAAGAAGUCAUCAUUGCUUUAAUUAGAAACAAUGUUGUUUGUCGAUAUGGACAACCAGAGGUCAUUGUGUCAGACAAUGCUAAGAACCUCAACAACAAAAUGAUGGAGGAGUUAUGCAGAAAAUUCCACAUCAAACAUCUUAACUCCGUCAUCUACCGGCCAAAGAUGAAUGGUGCUGUUGAAGCGGCUAAUAAAAAAUCAAAAAGAUCAUGCAGAAAAUGUCCGCCAAUCACAAAGGAUGGCCUGACCUCUUGCCUCUGACUUUAUUAGCCUACAGAACUUCCAUGCGAACUUCCACUGGGGCAACUCCUUACUCAUUAGUCUAUGGGAUGAAAGCAGUGCUCCCCAUAGAGGUGGAAAUGGAAUCCCUCAGAGUAUUGAUGGAUGCUCAGUUAGAUGAAGACCAAUGGGUACAAGACAGGUAUGACCAAUUGUCUCUGAUAGAUGAAAGGCGAACUGCGGCUAUCUUCCAUGGUCAGUUAUAUCAGCAAAGGAUUGCACGAUCCUACAACAGAAAAGUCCGACUACGGCAAUUCAAACAACAUGACUUGGUUUUGAAGAAGAUCAUUGAUAACCAAGAUCAUUCUAAGGGAAAAUUCGCUCCUAACUGGGAAGGCCCAUUUGUUGUCAAGGAGGUAUUGAUAGGAGGUGCUCUCAGAUUGCAGGAAAUGGACGGCGAUGAAUUUCCUCAGCUUAUCAACUCGGACACCGUGAAACGGUACUAUGUCUGAAGUUACCAUCAAACAAACAUCCUGGUUUUGAUAAUCAAAUCACCAGUCGUUCCGGUUUUGAACCCUAUCACCUUUCUUCAUACUCUUCUGCCCCUCAGGGAAACAUACACUUCAAACCAGCAGCCUGGUUUCACUUCAUUUCUAACCCUCCAUACAAUUUCGGUUAUCCUGAAGACGGGAUUGAACCUUUCUCAAUUUCGGUUAUCCUGAAGACGGGAUUGAACCUUUCACACUUCCGGUUAUCCUGAAGACGGGAUUGAACCUUUCUCAAUUUCGGUUAUCCUGAAGACGGGAUUAAACCUUUCACAUUUGCAGUUUGUCCUGAAGACAGGAUCAAACUUUUUCCUAACCUGCAGUUUAUCCCCAUUAUGGGAUUAAACUUUCUUCUCCCCGCAAUAUAGCCUGCACAUGGGAUUCACGUUUCUCUUCAGCUGUGAUUCGUCCUGAGGGGUGAACUACGUCGACCUGAUCUCCCACACUCCUGGGGGUACGUAGGCAACCAUAUUCUAUAUGGCCCGGUCGCAACAAAAAAAAACAACAAAAACAUUUCUUCUCUUUCUUUACAAAAACAACAAAAACAACAAAAAUAUUUCUACACUCGUCUGCCUUCAGCAUUCAGCGUUGAACCUCCUACACUAGGUUCGAACUACGCAGACUUGAUCUCCUCUUCAAUAGGAGUACGUAGGCAGUCAUUCAUGGUGCAGUCUAACCCCUACCAGAACAACAUAUUUGUCACACGGUAUUGGGAUCUACCUUUAGUUUGCCCCAUUUCAUCGGUUUCAGAUCAAAGGGAUGGAAUUACCCAACCUCUUCUCACAAAUAGAAGAUUAGGUGACCAUCUAAGCUGCGAUCGUGCCUCAAAGAGCAAUACCAACCCAUAAGAGAUGGAAUUAACUAGGCUUCUCACAAAUAGAAGUACUGACGACCAUCUGUGAUGCGGUCAAUCUCAGAGAGGAAGAAACCACACUCCUCUCCACUUUUCCAUACAGAUACCAGUCCCAAGACACCAAAGAUGGUAGGAAUUUACAGAAAUCAACGAUCCAUUCUGAGAGAUCUUGCUUCGUGGUGGUUGAUCAAGUUUGUAUAUAUAUAUUUACAGCUUUUAUAUAUAUAACUGCUUAUUGCUUUCCAUACAAAUUGCAGUAUCAUGUGAGCCUAGGAAUCAUGUGAUCACAGAUUCAGUCUACUGAAUCUAGAUUCGGUUCCCAUGAUGGACAUUUUUCAGCUGUAAGCAGCCUGUACAUUAUUUUUCAAACAAAUCUCACAUUAACAUGAGAACACCAAAAAACAAGUAACGAAAAGGGACACUCAAAAAUCCCAACGUCGACACUUAUCUUCGGAUCCUCCAUGAUCCCACAAAAUAUAGAACUCCCACAACCAAGCAUUCAUUUGCUAUUAUAAACAACAAUAUACUAACUUGCUUGAAAGAUUAGGGUUAGAUUAAGAUCUUACCUUCUUAGUGCUCUUUUUCUCUUAUAGCUAUGAACUUCAAGUAGCUCUCCAUUUUCUCCUUUUUGAUCUCUUCUUGAAUCACCAAGGUGCAAGAGUUCUUCCAAGUUUUUCUAUUCUCUUUUAUUUCCUCCCUCUAGCUCUCCAAUACUUGACAAUUUCAAAUAAGAAAGUAAACUUGGAUGAAGAAAUAGGUGCCUCCCAUUUAUAGAAGGAUUAUUAUCCAAUAACUAAGGGUAAAAGGGUGUUUGGUGAAAAGUUUCACCAACUCUUCACUUUAGGUACACAUAGCCAAUAGCCUAUAUCAUUAUUUCUUCACAUGGCCAAGCUUGUAAGGUCGGGCAAAAAUUUUCAACACUUAGCCAAAUGGGAAGGGUCGUGGUUUGGCCAUGGGGAAUUAUAUAUAUAUAUAUAUUAUAUUUUUUUUAUUUGUACUAUGCUAAAUUAUUUACACACACAUAUUUACAUAUAUAUAUAGGAAAAUAUGGAGGUACACAGCCGUGUAACUUUUAAAGUUACACGGUCUACGAUUGUAGAGUGAUUUCACUCUACGAUCAUAGAGUAGUCCCCAGAUGGUAG
rnacentral:lncRNA from 1 species